AUUGAACGCUGGCGGCAGGCUUAACACAUGCAAGUCGAGCGGGGGAAGGUAGCUUGCUACCGGACCUAGCGGCGGACGGGUCAGUAAUGCUUAGGAAUCUGCCUAUUAGUGGGGGACAACAUCUCGAAAGGGAUGCUAAUACCGCAUACGUCCUACGGGAGAAAGCAGGGGAUCUUCGGACCUUGCGCUAAUAGAUGAGCCUAAGUCGGAUUAGCUAGUGGGUGGGGUAAAGGCCUACCAAGGCGACGAGCUGUAGCGGGUCUGAGAGGAUGAUCCGCCACACUGGGAAUGAGACACGGCCCAGACUCCUACGGGAGGCAGCAGUGGGGAAUAUUGGACAAUGGGGGGAACCCUGAUCCAGCCAUGCCGCGUGUGUGAAGAAGGCCUUAUGGUUGUAAAGCACUUUAAGCGAGGAGGAGGCUACUUUAGUUAAUACCUAGAGAUAGUGGACGUUACUCGCAGAAUAAGCACCGGCUAACUCUGUGCCAGCAGCCGCCGUAA
rnacentral:rRNA from 1 species